CUCGGUCGCGACAGUUAAUAUUGUUUAAUUAUUACUUAACUGUUUUAUUAAAUUCUGAAAUGUUUAUUAAAUGCUGUUUAUGCAAAUGAAACCCUACUAUGCCAUCCUUUGUUAUCCUGUGCACUUGCAUAUUUGCUGUGUGGCUGUCGUCAGCUCAUGUCGUGAGAUGUUUGGUCAAGUCCUAUAACGAGCGAAACCCUCGUUUUGUGUUGCUGAGACAUGCGCCUAAGGAGAAAUUGUGGUACGUAGUGGUAAUAGUACACGCCCCGCUCCGAAACAAAGAAAAAGGUGCGUGCCGCACUCACGAAGGACUGCCAGUGAGAUACUGGAGGAAGGUGGGGAUGACGUCAAGUCCGCAUGGCCCUUAUGGGCUAGGCCACACACGUGCUACAAUGGCAAUGACAAUGGGAAGCAAGGCUGUAAGGCGGAGCGAAUCCGGAAAGAUUGCCUCAGUCCGGAUUGUUCUCUGUAACUCGGGAACAUGAAGUUGAAAUCGCUAGUAAUCGCGGAUCAGCAUGCCGCGGUGAAUAUGUACCCGGG
rnacentral:ncRNA from 1 species